GCGAACGCUGGCGGCAGGCCUAACACAUGCAAGUCGAACGGAUCCUUCGGGAUUAGUGGCGGACGGGUGAGUAACACGUGGGAACGUGCCCUUUGGUUCGGAACAACUCAGGGAAACUUGAGCUAAUACCGGAUGUGCCCUUCGGGGGAAAGAUUUAUCGCCAUUGGAGCGGCCCGCGUCUGAUUAGCUAGUUGGUGAGGUAACGGCCCACCAAGGCGACGAUCAGUAGCUGGUCUGAGAGGAUGAUCAGCCACACUGGGACUGAGACACGGCCCAGACUCCUACGGGAGGCAGCAGUGGUGAAUCUUGCGCAAUGGGCGAAAGCCUGACGCAGCCAUGCCGCGUGAAUGAUGAAGGUCUUAGGAUUGUAAAAUUCUUUCAGCGGGGACGAUAAUGACGGUACCCGCAGAAGAAGCUCCGGCUAACUUCGUG
rnacentral:rRNA from 1 species